GAGGGUAUAGCUCAGUGGUAGAAUGUGUGCUUAGCUCGCAUAGGGUCCUGGGUUCAAUCCUCAGUACCUCCA
rnacentral:tRNA from 1 species